AAGCUUUUCAUUUUUUCUAUGAACAUAUGUUUUAGAAAUUUAUAUGACAAAAUAUAUGACGUGAUAUAUUUCUGUUUUAUUCUUAAGUAAUAUUGGACUAUUGGGCUAUAUUAUCAUAAGUUUUUCUUUUCUUUUCUUUUCUUUUUUUUUAUUUUUGAGACAGUUUCACUCUUUUUGCCCAGGCUGGAGUGCAAUGGCACAAUCUGGGCUCACUGCACCCUCCGCCUCCUUCCUGCCUCAGGCUGCCAUGUAGCUGGGAUUAUAGGUACCUGCCACCACGCCCAGCUAAUCUUUGGUAUUUUUCAUAGAGACAGGGUUUCACAGUGUUGGCCAGGAUGAUCUCGAUCUCUUGACCUCGUGAUCCACCUGCCCUAGUCUCCCUAAGUGCUGGGAUUACAGGCGUGAGCCACCGUGCCCGGCCUAUCAUAAGUUUUUCGAAAACGGUUGUUUGUGGCUAAAUAAUAGUUCUGACAUAUUAAUACUAGCUUUUCACCAUUAUUAUAUGUAUGAUAAAUAGUAACAAAACAAAAUGACUGAAUUUUCCUGUGCUUGUAUUGUUAUCAUUAUUGUGGAUUUAAUCGUUUGCCAAAAAUUUUCAAAUUAUUGCUGGCUCGUAAGGAAAUUAAGAGAACUCUUGAUAGUGUAUAUUUAUUUUGUGACUAGCCACUUUAAUUAGUGAUCCUAAUGAUUUUUUAUUUUCCAGUUGAUUCUCCCGUGCCUCGGGAAAAAAUAAAAUAAUUUACAAAGAAUAAUGUUUUAUAGACUUCUUUCAAUUCCUAUGCUUCUUUUAUGUUUUUCAUCUUAUUGAGCUGGUCAAAGUUUAUGAGAUAUUGUAAUAAG
rnacentral:lncRNA from 1 species